GAUGAACGCUGGCGGCGUGCCUAAUACAUGCAAGUCGAGCGAACGGACGAGAAGCUUGCUUCUCUGAUGUUUGCGGCGGACGUGUGUGUAACACGUGUAUAACCUCCCUAUUAUUCUUGGAUCACUUCGGGAAACCGUUGCUAAUACCGGCUGAUAUUUUGUACCGCAUGGUUCAUAAGUGAUCUACGGUCUUUCUGUCUCUUAUUGAUUGAUCCGCGCUGCUUUAGCUAGUUGGUAAGGUAACGGCUUACCAAGGCAACGAUGCAUAGCCGAACUGAGAGGGUGAUCGGCCACACUGGAAGUGAGACACGGAACAGACUACUACGGGAGGCAGCAGUAGGGAAUGUGCGGCAAUGGGCGAAAGCAUGACGGAGCAAAGCCGCGUGAGUGAUGAAGGACUUCGGAUCGUAAAACACUGUUAUUAGGGAAGAAAAUAUGGGUAAGAAACUGUGCAGAGAAUGACGGUACCUAAACAGAAAGCAACGGCUAACUACGUG
rnacentral:rRNA from 1 species